UGUCUGGAGAUUUCGAGCUGUUAACGUAAAGAGCGGCGUCUCAGGCUUCUCUGCAGUGUGAGUGUCCUGCCUUGGCCAGAGCAGAACUCCCAGAGCAGUGAAAAGGGAGCCAGUGUCAUGGGGCUUCUGGUUUCAGGACAUACUGGAAAGGCUGGUCCCUGAGUGCUCCAAGGACCCCGCCAGCCAGCCACAGGGGAUGCUGGGAGUGUCCUCCAUCCUGCCCUUAAAGGGCUCCUUUCCUGCUUCCUGGGUUCAUAUCUGU